GUGAAUCAUCAAAUUUUUGGACGCAGAUUGCACCCUCCUCGGAGAGUAUGCCUGUUUGAGGGUCAGCCUAUAAAAAAUCGACAUCGUUGCCGUUUCGCGGUGGCGUUCGUCGGAAAUUGGGUCAUCUUAAAUCCUUUUGAUUUAAGCGACUUAAAAUUUUCUUUGGUUCCCUGAAAGUUUCUUAGAUCUUAUUUCUUACACCUUUUAAGUAU
rnacentral:misc_RNA from 1 species